rnacentral:hammerhead_ribozyme from 1 species
AUCCAGCUAACUAGUCUCAAAUAGAACGAAAUGCGCAUCAUGGAU